rnacentral:misc_RNA from 1 species
ACGAAUUACCAAAUAAGGUAAAGUCUCUAUUUUAAUGGCUAAGGGUGAUACUAAAGCUGUGAAUAGAACUGGGCACGGGGAGUAAGUGUUUCUCUUUACUAGAGGCAUAGAGGCGGUUAAGCAUAUUGCGAAUAAAAGGGCGUAGCCUUGCUAGAAAACUUAACGCGACAACGAAAUAAACCUAACCAGCAUAAAUAAA